rnacentral:lncRNA from 1 species
GGAUGUGAGGAAUCCGGCAUCCAAGAUGUUGGAGGUUAGAGAAGACUGGCACGCAGGUAUGCAGAGGAGGCUAGUUUCCGAUGCACCCUCACCUGUACUGCUGCGUGGCGGGAGGGGUGUGUGUGUGUGACGGUGCGGGUGUGUGUGUGGGAGGGUGUUCAAAUGAGGGUGGGCAGCCCUGGGCAAGCUGGGCUGGCAGAACGGCAUGACCAUCUUCAUGCCUCCCUCUUAGCUAAGGGAUGUCUGGCUUGCACAACUGUCUACGUCCCCAUCUUCCAACCUUGGUGUGAGCCAACCACACUUUGCACUGAGGGAUCCUCUCUUCUCCACCCUCCCCCACAUCUGCAGAGGCCCCACCCCACCCCACCAGGAAUUUACCUCUAUGGUUUGAGGUCGUUUUUUUGUUUUCAGCAAAUCUUUCCCCUGUCCCUUCGGAGCACCAAAUGCCGCCCAAACUCUCCAGAUAACUGUUCCUGCGUCUCUGAGGCGGGAACUGAAGGCCCAGAUUUCCAUCUCCGCAGAGGAAGCCAGUGCCUUGGCCCCACCCAGCCAUUGUGUCAGACCAGGGUUGUGAGUGUUGAGGGUGGUGGGGAAGGGGAUCCCCUGGAUCUGUAGAGUGACUUGCUGCUCACUAUUCUGUGUUCCCAGUUCCUCGGGAGGCCCCAGCUCUCAGUGUUGCACUGGGAAGCUCCCACAGCGAAUGUCCUGGAAGUCAAUGCUGGGGGAGAAAGGAGGGAGGGAGACUGGUGGGGGUUGCAGGGGCAAGUUCCUGUCAGAUGUUACUCCGUGGGCACACAUCAAGACACUGGGAAGAAAAAUCAGGUAAGCUUGUAUUGAAAGAUGGUUUAAACCCCUUCUUGCAGAAAGCCAAAAAACCUAGUCUUUCUAAGGGACCACACAAUCUGCCCUAUUUCCCAGCUUCUCCCUUCAGGCCUAUUCCUACCUUAGGAUUUUUGGAGUUCUCCUAAUGCCUGAAAAUCUUCCCAGAAAUCUCCCUGAAGCAUUUCUUCAUGUUCUCUGGGCAGCUGGAAGGAACCCUCUCAAAGAGGUCUGUUCUGGCUACUCUAAAAUUUCAAUCCACUGGGCUACCUGGUCAGGUCUUGUC